ACUGCUCAGUAACACGUGGCUAAUCUGCCCUUAGGACGAGAACAACCCCGGGAAACUGGGGCUAACUCUUGAUAGGCGAAGAACGCUGGAAUGAGUCUUUACCUAAAUAGAUUCACGUUAUCCUCGUGAACCUGCCUAAGGAUGAGGCCGCGACCGAUCAGGUUGUUGGCGAGGUAAUGGCUCACCAAGCCUUUUACCGGUGCGGGCCGUGGGAGCGGGAGCCCGGAGAUGGGUACUGAGACAAGGACCCAGGCCCUACGGGGCGCAGCAGUCGCGAAACCUUUGCAAUAAGCGAAAGCUUGACAGGGCUAUCCCGAGUGCCAUCCGCUGAGGAAGGCUUUUACCCAGUCUAGAACGCUGGGGGAAUAAGGAGAGGGCAAGUCUGGUGUCAGCCGCCGCGGUAAUACCAGCUCUCCGAGUGGUGUGGAUGUUCAUUGGGCCUAAAGCAUCCGUAGCUGGCUAAGUUAGUCCCUUGUUAAAUCCACCGAAUUAAUCGUUGGAUCGCGGGGGAUACUGCUUGGCUAGGGGACGAGAGAGGCAGACGGUAUUUUCGGGGUAGGGGUGAAAUCCUAUAAUCCCGGGAAGACCACCAGUGGCGAAGGCUGUCUGCUAGAACGCGCCCGACGGUGAGGGAUGAAAGCUGGGGGAGCGAACCGGAUUAGAUACCCGGGUAGUCCCAGCUGUAAACGAUGCAGACUAGGUGUUUGGACGGCCACGUGCCGUUCUAGUGCCGCAGGGAAGCUGUUAAGUCUGCCGCCUGGGGAGUACGAUCGCAAGAUUGAAACUUAAAGGAAUUGGCGGGGGAGCAC
rnacentral:rRNA from 1 species